AUAUGCCUAGUAGUGGGGGACAACAUGUGGAAACGCAUGCUAAUACCGCAUACGCUCUACGGAGGAAAGUGGGGGACCUUUCGGGGCCUCAUGCUACUAGAGUGAACCUAUAUUGGAUUAGCUUGUUGGUAAGGUAAUGGCUUACCAAGGCGACGAUCCAUAGCUGGUUUGAGAGAAUGAUCAGCCACACUGGGACUGAGACACGGCCCAGACUCCUACGGGAGGCAGCAGUGGGGAAUAUUGCAAUGGAGGAAACUCUGAUGCAGCAAUACCGCGUGUGUGAAGAAGGCCUUAGGGUUGUAAAGCACUUUCAGACGUGAGGAAAAGUAAUAAUUUAAUAAAUUAUUGCCUUGACGUUAACUGCAGAAGAAGGACCGGCUAACUCCGUGCCAGCAGCCGCGGUAAUACGGAGGGUCCGAGCGUUAAUCGGAAUUACUGGGCGUAAAGCGCGCGUAGGCGGAUAAUUAAGUCAGAUGUGAAAUCCCUGGGCUCAACCUAGGAACUGCAUUUGAUACUGGUUAUCUAGAGUAUGGUAGAGGUGAGUGGAAUUUCAGGUGUAGCGGUGAAAUGCGUAGAGAUCUGAAGGAACAUCAGUGGCGAAGGCGACUCACUGGGCCAUUACUGACGCUGAGGUGCGAAAGCGUGGGUAGCAAACAGGAUUAGAUACCCUGGUAGUCCACGCCCUAAACGAUGUCAACUAGGUGUAUGGAAGUUUAACUUCUGUGUAUCGAA
rnacentral:rRNA from 1 species